rfam:Parastrongyloides trichosuri strain KNP genome assembly, scaffold: PTRK_scaffold0000004
CCAACGGCCCUCUUUAGGGCCACCCAUCAUUUGUUUUAUAGUAUUA